AAAUGACUCGGCAGGUCCUUUAGUGGCUAUUUAUAGCUUUGGAGAAUUUAUUACUAGGUUUUACCAUUUUAAUAAAUACCUCUAAGCUAGGUUACUCUAGGUUAUCGGCCUAAUCAACUGUCAUCAUAAAUUUUGACCUCAAAUCAAGUAAGGAUACCCACUGAACUUAAGCAUAUCAAUAAGUGGAGGAAAAGAAACCAACAGGGAUUGCCUUAGUAACGGCGAGUGAAGCGGCAAAAGCUCAAAUUUGAAAUCUAGUACCUUCGGUGCUCGAGUUGUAAUUUGAAGAAAGUUUCCUUGGUUAGUCCUUAGCCUAUGUUCCUUGGAAUAGGACAUCAUAGAGGGUGAGAAUCCCGUAUGGCUUUGGAUCCUAUCCUUUGUAGGAAGCUUUCGAAGAGUCGAGUUGUUUGGGAAUGCAGCUCUAAGUGGGUGGUAAAUUCCAUCUAAAGCUAAAUAUUGGCGAGAGACCGAUAGCGAACAAGUACAGUGAUGGAAAGAUGAAAAGAACUCUGAAGAGAGAGUGAAAAAGUACGUGAAAUUGCUGAAAGGGAAGGGCUUUAGGUCAGACUUGGCGUUUAAUGAUUAUCUUCCCUUCUUGGGUUGUGCACUCGUUUUUCGUCGGGCCAAUAUCAGUUCUUGCGAUAGAGCACCUCUUGGAAUGUGACUUCCCUUCGGGGUUGUGUUAUAGCCUUGAGACGAUCUAUUUGCUGGGGACUGAGGACUGCGCUUUUGCUAGGAUAUUGGCGUAAUGACCUUAAGCCGCCCGUCUUGAAACACGGACCAAGGAGUCUAACGUCUAUGCGAGUGUUUGGGUGUAAAACCCGUACGCGAAAUGAAAGUGAACGUAGGUUGGGGCCCCUUGUGGGUGCACAAUCGACCGAUCCUGAUGUUUUCAGAUGGAUUUGAGUAAGAGCAUAGCUGUUGGGAC
rnacentral:rRNA from 1 species